CAAACCUAAUACCCGACCCGAACUCUCUUCUUCCUCUUUCUCACGCGCGCGGACGACUCGACAUCGACGGAGAGCGUUCUCCACCUGCGAUCUCGGCAUCGCCGCGUCACCUAAGAAAUAUGUUGUCGUAUCUCGACGAUUCUGACGUUGUCCAGGCCAUCUCCGGUGAAGCGAUCGCCUCCUCGGCGGUUUCUUACGCACUAUCGGCGGCGGCUCGGCAGCUAGGGCACUGCGAGAUUUUGGACUCGCGUUGUCCCCAACCGAUCGACUCCCGACGUUCCUCCUCGAUCUGUUGCUGGAGCCAUAUCCAUUCUCCACAUCUAGCGGAUGAUAGGCAUUUGGGGGGUGACCAGUCUAGACUAGGAGGAGGCAUUGGAUCAACAUACUGGUGGAUUUUCCUCUGUGUCGAUCACUGCCCUCUUCCUUUCUUGCGACCGUUGAAGUUUCGAUUGAAGAAAUGGGGUUCGAUUGAGCUUCUGGGCAGAGGCUGGUAGGGCUAUGAACUUGUGAUUCGUUGCUAUACCUCAAGGACCUUGAUCGGAGACGAGCCGCGUGACGUGGGUGGUUCUGUUGAUACGAGUUAUAUCAAGGCGGG